rnacentral:rRNA from 1 species
ACGCUCGACACCUACGGGGGCAGCAGUGGGGAAUAUUGGGCAAUGGGCGCAAGCCUGACCCAGCAACGCCGCGUGAAGGAAGAAGGCUUUCGGGUUGUAAACUUCUUUUAUCAGGGACGAAAUAAAUGACGGUACCUGAUGAAUAAGCCACGGCUAACUACGUGCCAGCAGCCGCGGUAAUCUGAGCGGGCUGGCAAGGC